rnacentral:rRNA from 1 species
UACGGAGGGUGCGAGCGUUGUCCGGAAUCACUGGGCGUAAAGGGCGCGUAGGCGGCCUGAUAAGUAGGGGGUGAAAUCCUGCGGCUUAACCGCAGGGCUGCCUUCUAAACUGUCAGGCUUGAGCACAGUAGAGGCAGGUGGAAUUGGUAGUGUAGCAGUGAAAUGCUUAGAUAUUACCAGGAACACCAAUGGCGAAGGCAGCUUGCUGGGCCACUCCUGACACUGAGGUACGAAAGCGUGGGGAGCGAACAGG